rnacentral:rRNA from 1 species
UACGAAGGGGGCUAGCGUUGCUCGGAAUCACUGGGCGUAAAGGGUGCGUAGGCGGGUCUUUAAGUCAGGGGUGAAAUCCUGGAGCUCAACUCCAGAACUGCCUUUGAUACUGAGGAUCUUGAGUUCGGGAGAGGUGAGUGGAACUGCGAGUGUAGAGGUGAAAUUCGUAGAUAUUGGGAAGAACACCGGUGGCGAAGGCGGCUCACUGGCUCAUUACUGACGCUCAUGCGCGACAGCGUGGGGAUCAAACAGG